rnacentral:lncRNA from 1 species
UGCCCCCUUACACAAGAGGUGAUUCCUGCUAGUGAGAAUUCCUCUAUAGAUGAACCACCUAGUGGGAGAACUCGCUCUCAGUGCAGAUCCAACAAUCACUUGCCUGUCCACCCAGCUUACACACCCGUGCAAGGCACCACUUCACACUCUGGAAAUGCUUCCACCCUAAAUGCUAGUCCGCCUGGACUACAAAAUGAAAACCCUGGGGAUGGACCUCCCAGCACACGCACACGCUCUAGCAGGAAACGAG